rnacentral:rRNA from 1 species
AUUGAACGCUGGCGGCAUGCUUUACACAUGCAAGUCGAACGGUAACAGGGUGCUUGCACCGCUGACGAGUGGCGAACGGGUGAGUAAUGCGUCGGAACGUGCCGAGUAGUGGGGGAUAACGCAGCGAAAGUUGUGCUAAUACCGCAUACGUACUGAGGUAGAAAGUGGGGGACCUUCGGGCCUCACGCUAUUCGAGCGGCCGACGUCUGAUUAGCUAGUAGGUGAGGUAAAGGCUCACCUAGGCGACGAUCAGUAGCGGGUCUGAGAGGAUGAUCCGCCACACUGGGACUGAGACACGGCCCAGACUCCUACGGGAGGCAGCAGUGGGGAAUUUUGGACAAUGGGCGAAAGCCUGAUCCAGCCAUGCCGCGUGUCUGAAGAAGGCCUUCGGGUUGUAAAGGACUUUUGUCAGGGAGGAAAUCCCUAGCGUUAAUACCGCUGGGGGAUGACAGUACCUGAAGAAUAAGCACCGGCUAACUACGUGCCAGCCGCCGCCGUAACAC